CAAAGAUUUGAAAGCCAGAGUUAUUGCUGAUCUCCUCUUUCUGCUUCAUUAGGCCUGCCUUUCCCGGUAACCUGUUCCUCAAAUAAUAUUUCUCCCAACUGUGACACCAACUAGAUGUCAAAACCUCAGUGAUAUCCGUUGAUGUCAAAACAUCAAUUUAUGUCAAAUAUAAUUUAACCUAAAGCCGUUUCCUUUAUUAGAAUGAUAAUGUCAUUUAUCAUAUGUCUUUUCUUUCACUUUCCCUGAUUUUAGUUAUUAAAACAACACCCCACUUCAAUGUGCUCAUUUGUAAAAUAGCAAUGCCAUUACUAACUUGUGUCUGUUACAGAGAGUAUCCUACAAAGAUGGUCUCAAAGUACUUUGAGAUGAACAGAAUGUUCUAUAAAUGGGUAUUGAAAAUAAUCAAGACAUUCAUGGAUCCAAACAGGCCACAGAAAUACCAUAGCAACAAAUGAACAAUAAUUGCUGCAUUAUGGGCUCUUUCCCCAGCUGCACUCAUGCAAUCAAAGCUCUGCUGCGUCUUCAGAGGAGCCCAGGUCAGAUCUGGCUGCCAUCACCCAUGAGGAAGACGUGCGGAGCCAGACAGGUGCCUGGAGGAAAGGUGGGUGUGUGCUGUCCUGCCCCAUCCUCUCUGUUUCCCUCCCACGUGUUUGCAGAGACGUCCUCAGCAUGGAACCAGGGCCCUUGACAGAGACAUUGUCAUUCUGGACACCCCACACCCAAGCCAGUUCAUCCAAGUCACCCGAUAAAAUUGUGCUCUGAAGAAACUGCCUGUUUCAGCAAACUCCUUACCUUACUGGACGCAUAGCGAUGGCCAGCACAGGAUGAGGCCAUGGGAGGAUCUUAAUGACACAGUCCACUCUGCAAACCAAGGUCAACAAGGCAGCAGUGUUCUCAGUUUCCAUCACGGGUCAGAUGCAGCUCCAACAUCACGUCCU
rnacentral:lncRNA from 1 species